UACAAUAUUUAUGGCUACAAACGAGUGGUUUUUCCUUUUUAAUUAGAUCACUAAAUCAAGGAGAGACAUACAACUCUACUUUAAUAAAACAAUGACAAUAAAUUUUAAAGUAAAAAAAUAAAAAUGUGAUCUUCAAGUCUUUUAGAAAAAUUAAAUUACAUUACUGCAACAAGAGCAUGGUGCAAUUAAGACGCUAAAGAUGAUCAUUAAAUUCAAGUCUUGAAAAAUUAAAUUCAAGUCUCUCUACGGCCAACGCUCCUAAUUAACACUGUGCUCUGUGUCUUUGCAUGGUUACUACUUGAAUCUUGGGAUCAUUAGCUUUUUGCCUUGUGGAUCACUUUUACCUGCUCUAUGCUCGAAUCCCUCUUUGACCAUAUUUUCCAGAGCAGUUACGAGGCUCCCUCUAUGGAUUUCAUCUCUAGCUGCAUUUUGCAUGGAUUUCUAUGAUCCUUGUGUUCUCUUGUUGGAAUUUUUACAUUUGGCCAACUGCUAGAGCAUGAAUCCUCUCUCGGAAGUUUUUGGUUGGGGGGCGCAACUGCCUCUAUUGUUUUUCUAGGUCUCUUUAGGGUCCUAACCCAUUUUUUAUCCUAGGAUUUCUGGGCGUAAGGAGUCUCCUUCAAUGCGCACUGAAUUCAGACAUUUCUCCACAGCUAAAUAAACAGCAUCCCUGCAAGCUAAUGCUUCAAGAAUAAGGAGGGAUCAGAAACACCCUCUACAAUUCUACACCGUCAAAGCAAAGGAGUCCCAUUCCAGCAUGAGUAGUAGCCACAGAACCUCUGUCCCCAAUCCUAUCAACAUCUUCAUCAAAGUUGAGCUUAAUUUGUGUGGGGCAACCCAUGCAAUAGCGGAAGCAGGAAAAUUAUCAAUCAACAAGUUUGGAUGUAUAGCAGAAUAAUUUGUUUCAUUAAAAUCCUUUGAAUGAAUAGAAGCCAAGCGAAUAACCUCAUGCCAACUCAUAUGAGAGUUGCGGAAAAUGAGGGAGUUCGUAGCCUUCAAAUCUGCCAUAAAAGAAAAACUGCCUGCUAAUUAAAUAAGAUCGUUUCCGUCUGGAAGAUACUGGAGAAGCCUCAACAAAGCUUCCUAGGAAGACUGAAUAUCGGCAAACGGCAAUAAAGCUGAUGUGCAUCCAAAUAAGGAGUUACUCCAAACAGAAGCAGCCGGAAGACAUGUGAAAAUCAAAUCGGAUAAUAUUUCCGGCUGCCCAGAGAGAUUGCAAGACGGGUCGACCUGAUAAUAGUCUAUUGUGCGAGGGAUUGUUCCAGAAAUAGUAAAUUCAUUUUU
rnacentral:lncRNA from 1 species